UGGCUCAGAGGUUAAGAGCAUCUGACUGCUCUUUCAGAGGUCCUGAGUUCAACUCUCAG
rnacentral:tRNA from 1 species